UACCAGCACCCCGAGUGGUCGGGACGAUUAUUGGGCCGUAAGCAUCCGUAGCUUGUUCUGCAAGAUCCUCCGGUUAAAUCCACCUGCUCAACAGAUGGGCUGGCGGGGGAUACGUACAGGGCUAGGAGGCGGGAGAGGCAAACGGUACGUCAGUGGGUAGGGGUAAAAUCCUCUGAUCCACUGAAGACCCACCAGUGGCGAAGGCGGUUGCCAGACGCGCUCGACGGUGAGGGAUGAAAGCUGGGGGAGCAAACCGGG
rnacentral:rRNA from 1 species